rnacentral:rRNA from 1 species
UGGGGAAUAUUGGACAAUGGAGGAAACUCUGAUCCAGCAAUUCUGUGUGUGUGAAGAAGGUUUUAGGACUGUAAAACACUUUUAGUAGGGAAGAAAAAAAUGACGGUACCUAACCAGAAAGCCACGGCUAACUACGUGCCAGCAGCCGCGGUAAUACGUAGGUGGCAAGCGUUGUCCGGAAUUAUUGGGCGUAAAGCGCGCGCAGGUGGUUUAGAAAGUCUGAUGUGAAAGCCCACGGCUCAACCGUGGAGGGUCAUUGGAAACUAAUAAACUUGAGUGCAGGAGAGAAAAGUGGAAUUCCUAGUGUAGCGGUGAAAUGCGUAGAGAUUAGGAGGAACACCGGUGGCGAAAGCGGCUUUUUGGCCUGCAACUGACACUGAGGCGCGAAAGCGUGGGGAGCAAACAGG